AAACAUGGAGGAGCUUCCGUGCGUUGCAGGUUCCUGCCGCGCUGUCUUCUGUGUUGAUACGUGGCUGUCUCCUUGUCACGCGGUUAACUGUGUAGUGGUGUACUAAGUGUUGAGUUCCCGUGGGUUCGAUGAAGACCAACAAGAACUUAAGUGUCAUGUAAUGAAGGAAGGAAGGUGAUAUUAAAGACAGGAAAGAAAAUCGAAGUUGGCCUGCAUCAUCUCGCCAGUCUCCUGAAAUAUGAACAGAAAAUGCCGACGUGACGCGACUGGAGAGUGUGACGCGCCUCCCUCGCUCUGUUUAGAUUCAAGUUGAUGCACAUGAAGAUAAAAAGUCAUAAAUGGAUCGGCGCGGCUGAGGGAGCUGUGUGCCAUUAAGUGCCAGACGUACUGCUCCUCUUGUGUGUCAGUGCCGCUCCUCAACGCCUCCCUUCGGUGCCAUCCCGUGGAGAAAGAUGACAGCCGAGGUGUUACUCUGUCAGAUUCCCGUCAGUACACAUCGACUCAGCAGCGAGAUAGCGUGACUCAGACCAGGAGUCCAUUAGUGACUGCCGCGCCUCAAGUCCCACCGGCGGAUCCUUCCCCUACCUUGUUCAGCAGG